UUACAUAAAUGUAAUAGUGUAGUUGCUAAAAAUAUAUUGCUUGGGAUUGCAAUAUCUGCCCCAGUGUGAUUGCAGGAAAGAGUCUUGAAGUUGCAAUCCUCUGCAACCAUUCCUUGGCCUGGCAUUUUUAUCCCCCAAAAUUGCAGAGCACCCACAACUCCAGUCAAAGUCAGUGGGAGGUGUGAGUCCUCAGAAUGUCAGAAAACAAGACAUAACUCUCUCCUAGGUUGAGGACUUGUGCCACAGAAGCAGAAAGAAAUUUGCAGCAGGCAAUUAUAGUGCGGGCACAAAAUGAGUGGCUGGGAUCAUGAUGCUGAGCAAGGCAAGAGAUGGAGCACUUAAUUAGGAUUUGUUUUUUGAAGAAAAAAGCUGCUUAUUUCAAUAGUUUUUUGGAACAUCAGUUUGUGGAGAAGGACCGGCUCAGGGAGUAAUGAUGGUGUCAUUAGAGGUGCAGUCUGGGAUGUUUGACAUUU